rnacentral:rRNA from 1 species
UACUUGAGGCAGCAGUAGGGAAUCUUUCACAAUGGGCGAAAGCCUGAUGGAGCAACGCCGCGUGCAGGAUGACGGCCUUCGGGUUGUAAACUGCUUUUAUAAGCGAGAAAUAUGAUGGUAACUUAUGAAUAAGGACCGGCUAACUACGUGCCAGCAGCCGCGGUAAU